AUGUUCAAGCUGGUUGUAGAAAAGGCAGAGGAACCAGACAUCAAAUUGCCAACAUCCGCUGGAUCAUCGAAAAAACAAGAGUUCCAGAAAAACAUCUAUUUCUGCUUUAUUGACUAUGUCAAAGCCUUUGACUGUAUGGAUCACAAUAAACUGUGGAAAAUUCUUCAAGAGAUGGGAAUACCAGACCACCUGACCUGUCUCUUGAGAAACCUAUAUGCAGGUCAGGAAGCAACAGUUAGAACUGGACAUGGAACAACAGACUGGUUUCAAAUAGGAAAAGGAGUACGUCAAGGCUGUAUAUUGUCACCCUGCUUAUUUAAUUUAUAUUCAGAAUACAUCAUGAGAAACACUGGACUGGAAGAAGCACAACCUGGAAUCAAGAUUGCUGGGAGAAAUAUCAGUAACCUCAGAUAUUCAGAUGACACCACCCUUAUGGCAAAAAGUGAAGAGGAAUUAAAAAGGCUCUUGAUGAAAGUGAAAGAGGAAAAGGUUGGCUUAAAGCUCAACAUUCAGAAAACUAAGAUCAUGGCAUCUGGUCCCAUCACUUCAUGGGAAAUAGAUGGAGAAACAGUGGAAACAAUGUCAGACUUUAUUUUGGGGCCUCCAAAAUCACUGCAGGUGGUGAUUGCAGCCAUGAAAUUAAAAGGCACUUACUUACUCCUUGAAAGGAAAGUUAUGACUAACCUAGAUAGCAUAUUCAAAAGCAGAGACAUUACUUUGCCAACAAAGGUCCAUCUAGUCAAGGCUAUGGUUUUUCCAGUAGUCAUGUAUGGAUGUGAGAGUUGGACUGUGAAGAAGGCUGAGCGCAGAAGAAUUGAUGCUUUUGAACUGUGGUGUUGGAGAAGACUCUUGAGGGUCCCCUGGACUGCAAGGAGAUCCAACCAGUCCAUUCUAAAGGGGAUCAGUCCUGGGUGUUCUUUAGAGGGAGUGAUGCUGAAGCUGAAACUCCAGUACUUUGGCCACCUCAUGCGAAGAGUUGACUCAUUGGAAAAGACUCUGAUGCUGGGAGGGAUUGGGGCAGGAGGAAAGGGGGACAGCAGAGGAUGA
rnacentral:lncRNA from 1 species